UCAGUCCAGAGGACUUGUCAGCCAGAACAGUGUGAUUGCAAGAAUGCCACACAGAGCUAUCUGAGAGAGAAAGAACUUGGCAAAUGCCUGGCAGACCCUUCAAGCUCUUACUCUGGGUCAUUUUUGUUUGAAAGACCAAGAAAUGUGAAGGUCAAUUUAUUUUAUUAAAUAAUUUGCACCUUGAGGCAAAAUUCUUUCUGAAAUAUCUACAUGAAUUUUGGGACCCAUCAUAUGAUGUUUACCAUAUAACUGAAGGGUAACUACUUCUCCACCCCAGAGUUGGAAAUGAGAAUGGAUGUGAAGUCACUCAAUUCCAGAAGCCUGGGUGUGACAUUAGGGGGGCAAGAAAAGAAGCACCUCUAAAUAUGCUGAGAAGAGUCAAGCAGGUUACGAGAGCCCAGAGUCUAGAGCAGGAUCAUGCCAGUUAUCAGCAAUGCCGAAGAUGGGAAUUUUCACCCCAGAAGAAGGUACUUCCAGUAGAGAGGACUUCCCUACAUCUGUGUCCUGGACAUAUUAUCUGCAUCAUUUCUAUUCCCGUAAAAAGGAAAUUUUCAUUGCCUGGAAAGGCCUUCAUGUGACCUGCGAGAAGCUUUCUCCCAAUCUGGCAGGCAGGCUUCUGAAAAGCCCCUGAUGUGACAUUUGCUGUGAUAUGGAAAGCCCGCUCCUAGUAAUCCAGCUGCACCCCAUUGUAAGAGAAAGGAGAUGUUACAGCAUUUACAAAAGACUUUGCUUUGCAGGUACUCAUAUACUCGUAACAGGUCUGCUCUAAAUAA